CAACGAGUGGUUAAAGUUAUCGCCCAAACAAGUAACGUUCCAAUUACCUACCAAUUAUUUGUUUACGUAAAUGUUAGAAAACAUAGAACGUAGAUAAAUAGUGCUUAUCUAUUUCAAUUUAUUAUAAACGUUGUCUAACAAUAUAACCGACUAAAAUUUGCAACAACUUCAGUCUUUCUUCAGCUGUCUCUUCUACUUGUAACUAAAGCCGCUCAUCGCAUCCUCGAAAAUGUUCAAAGACAGGCUUUUUACCUUCUUCAUCUUGAUGGCGUGCGUGUACGUCAUCACCGCUCACGUUGUUAAGCGUGAAGAUAGCGGUGAAAAUAAAGGUACGAUCAAAAAGGUAGACGACUUGCUGGUCGGUCUUCCUCUUCUUGGUUCACUUUUGGGAUAUCUUCUCAGCCCCAUUUUGGUCAGACUUGACAAACUCCUGGGAUAACUUCGCAUUGCGUUUCUGUUGAUAUGAAUUAUAUUUUUUUGCUUUUUCAAUUUUCAAUAUUUACUAUUUCCAAUUUUUAACCAUAUGCUUAUGUAUAUCUUCGUUUGUAUACAUAUAUUAUCUUAUCUUUAUUGCUAUUAUCAUUAUGUUAACCAUGUAUAUUACCAUAUAUAACCUAUAUCCUAUAUCUUAUAAUGUUAUGAUCUAUAAAUAAUAGGAGGGUACGUUACUUAAUCUAAUUGUUCAAACCACUUAUCCAAGAAAAUCGAGGCUUAUUAUUUUAAAUAAAUGUUAUGCAUAUUAUUGUUGUUCACUACCUUUGACACUACAGAGUAUAAAUAAAGAAUCAGUAGAACUUGUAA